UUCCGGUUUGAUCCUGCCAGAGGCUACUGCUAUCGGGGUUCGAUUAAGCCAWSCGAGUUAAAUGUUCUUCGUGAACAUAGCGAACUGCUCAGUAACACGUGGAUAACCUACCCUUAGGACCGGAAUAACCCCGGGAAACUGGGGAUAAUACCGGAUAAGCCAUAGACGCUGGAAUGCACUAUGGUUCAAAGCUCCGGCGCCUAAGGAUGGAUCUGCGGUCUAUCAGGUUGUAGUGGGUGUAACGUACCUACUAGCCGACGACGGAUACGAGUUGUGAGAGCAAGAGCCCGGAGAUGGAUUCUGAGACACGAAUCCAGGCCCUACGGGGUGCAGCAGGCGCGAACACUUUACAAUGCGGGAAACCGCGAUAAGGGAACCCCGAGUGCCAGCAUCAAAUGUUGGCUGUCCAGAUGAUUAAAAAUCAUUUGUUAGCAAGGGCCGGGCAAGACCGGUGCCAGCCGCCGCGGUAACACCGGCGGCCCGAGUGGUAGCCGUUUUUAUUGGGUCUAAAGGGUCCGUAGCCGGCCUGAUAAGUCCUUUGGGAAAUCUGGCAGCUUAACUGUCAGGCUUCUAAGGGAUACUGUCAGGCUUGGGACCGGAAGAGGUAAGGGGUACUCCAGGGGUAGGAGUGAAAUCUUGUAAUCCCUGGGGGACCAUCUGUGGCGAAGGCGCCUUACCAGAACGGGUCCGACGGUGAGGGACGAAAGCUAGGGGAGCAAACCGGAUUAGAUACCCGGGUAGUCCUAGCUGUAAACGAUGCUCGC
rnacentral:rRNA from 1 species